rnacentral:lncRNA from 1 species
GAGAGGGCAAACUUGAAUGCCCUUCACAAUGGAGAGAUGUGUGCAGACCGGACAGACAUCAGUUCCUUUAUCAGUGCACAGGUAGCUGCAAUAUGCUUCCUGGAAUCCUCUCUCAAAUAAACUGCUUGCCUCCAAAUCCUUGUCUCAGGCCUGCAUGUGGAGAGAUAAAACCCAGACAAAGAGGCAGACAUGAGCAGAUGAGCUCCCCCGAACAGGAGACAAGUGGGCUGAGAGGUGAAGGAAGAGGAUGAGCAGCUCCAGCAGCCUAAGGGCUAUCCUCUGAAGCAGAGUCACAGAGCCGAGUGUAGCAAGAAAAGGCUCGGUGAUGCCUGGGGAGGCGACGCCGGCAGUCAGAAGAAUCCAAAGGAGCCUUGACAGCGUCACUGCAGACAAACCUGUCUCCACUGACUGCCCUACUCAGACUCUGCCUGUCUGUGGUGGCCCACUCUCCUCGGGGUGGAUCGGCCUAAGAGUUUCAUUAAAAUCAAGGGGACGGGGAUUGUGGGUAGUGUUGGGACCCAGUAAAGCCCUGGGCUUAAUGGAUCAGAACCAAAACCCCAGCUCCACAUGGGCAGCCCUCAGUUUUCAUGGGUCAGCCCUUUCUGAGAAACCCAGCCAGGGAGGAGCACAGGACCAGCAGCAGGGGAUGCUUCUAAACCCAUAUCUCACUGGAUAAGCUCAUCACCUUCCAAGCCUCUGAAGAACAUUUACGUUCCUAUAAGUUUCUGAAGCCACGUUCAAAUCGUAGCUCUACCACCAAUGAGCUGCACGUUGGAGGGGAAGUGAAUUCACCCCAGACCUGAGUUCCACAUCCCUAGACUGGGUGAGAGGGCCUCUGCCCAGGCUCUCCAUGAGGAUGACCUGCACCGUGUGCCUUUAAUGCACUUAGAACAGCAGGUGCCUCAGUAAACGCUCACUGCCAUUCUGCGAUCAUUAUUGCAUUCACUUCCUGGGGCUGCUGCAACAAAGUACCACACCCUGGGGGCGAAAACAACAGACCCUGACCGUGCCGAUGCUGGAAGUCUGAGAUCAAGGUGUGGGCAGGGCUGGUUCCUUCCGAGGACUGUGAGGAAGACUGUUCCACGCCUCUCUGCAGCUCCGGGUGGUUUGCAGGCAACCUUUCCAUUGCUGGCUUUGCAGACACAUCACCCAGUCUCUGCCCUCAUGUUCACAUGGCUCUCUCCCUGUGUGUGUGUGUCUGCGUCCCAGCCUCCCCUGUUUAUAAGGACAUAGUGGCAUUACAUGACUACUAUUACUCUGAUAGGGCCUCAUCUUAACUAACUACAUCUGCAAAUAACCCAUUGCCACAUAAGGUAGCAUUCUGAAGUACUAGGGGCUAGGACAUCAACAUAGGAAUUUGGGGAGCACAUAAUUCAACCCAUGAUAAUGAUUAUCGUGAUUAUUAUUAAGAAUAUAUAACCACUGUAGGAUGAAAGCAAAUACUGUAAAAUCCUACUCAUAGGUUUGCAGGGAUUAAAUGGCAUCACUGGAAAAUUGUCUGACACAAAGAAGGGGUUCAACAAAUGUUGUUUUACUUCCUCACUGUCAGCCUAAAUAUAGAAAGUAUUUGCUCAUUGGCCCGACAGACAAGUUUUGACUUCUAGUUUUAUACCAGCUUUAUGUAUACAUGCUUAUAUGUCGUAUGUGACAUUUUGUACAUAUAAACAUUAGUUCUGCCUUCUAAUGCUAUUUUGAAAUCACCUUUCCCUUGUUAAAGUGUUCUUUUGAAAUUAUAUAAAAUAGCUGAAUAGUAUUUUAAAGCCAAAAUGCUACAAUUUACUUGCCAUGUUUUAUAAUUUGCUUACAUUCAGAUGGUGUACCAUCUUGUGUUCUGUUAUGAAAUAGCACAACCAUGCAUAAAUGACCCUGCCAUCCUACCCCUAGAACUUUAUUUACCAUGAAAUGCCUCCACGUACUUUCAUUUGCAUGUCUUGAGAACUGAACCGUAGACCCCUCUUCCCUGUCAGUGUUGACCAUCGAUAUUUCCUCCCACAUGUGGCUUCUGUUUCUGUCUCUGGGCAGAUUUAUUCUAACCUGCCCUCAAAUCUGUAAGAAGAUUGUUCAUUCCCUAGGGCUAGUCCAAGUCUCCUGGCCUGGUGCUUACUUCAAAUUCACCUAAAUCUGGCAUAAAAGCUUUCAGGACAAGGUGGAUCAAACUGCGCCCUUGUGUGAGUACUCCCUGGACAGAAUGUCUGGUUAUCUUCGGUGUAAGUUAUUUCCCAUGACUCACAAAUAGAAAUCAGGAGAGGAGGGAGGUAGGAGGUGCAAGCCUCUGCAGCUGUCUGGAGAGUCAGCAAAAGGGAGACAGAAUCUUUAGUUACUUCACAUGUGUGACAAUACGCCUAUGUUUUGUUUUAUGUUGUUUAUUUCUUAUGUAACAUUGUUGAGUUAUCAAAUGAAGUGGUGUAUAAAAAUGUCAAAUAAACAGGUUCUCUCCCUUU